rnacentral:lncRNA from 1 species
AGGAGUCUGAUGCGCCCGCUGGCGUGCAUUCCUUCAGUGCCUCUCCUCUGGCAUCAACCUAAAUGACCACGACAAUCGCUGAAUGUGAGGUGAUCAUUGCUUUCAAUUCAUUUUUGUGUUUAUACUGAAGUUAUUUGGUGUCUGUUUUGCAGGAUAGUUUAACUUGCGAGAAAAUACUAUUGCAUUUUCAAAAAGCGAUUAUGUUUGAUCUUAUAAGCAAUAUUGCAUUUAAAAAAGUAUUUCUCACCAAGGAAGGUAAUUAUAAUAAGCAUAAGAAUCAGCAUGUGAUUGUUUUUAGGAUAACUGACAUAUGCAAAAAUAAAUAAAAAUUGCCAAAAGAUCCUGAUCUUACUAAGCACAGAGUUCUUGGCUUAAGUACCAGGCAGUAGGUGACUGGUUUUCAUGGCGUUACAGCCAAAUCUUGCUUUAUGUAAUGUAAGAAGAGGCUGAAAGUUUGUUCUAUUAAACAGCAAUCUAAUGAUAUAUUAUAUACAGCAAAGGUUGCAUUGCCUUCUGUACGUUGAGCAUUUGUUUGUAUAUCUAAGCUCACUAAAUUGCAUUUCACAAUGAAAAUUCAGAUAUGUUGUUAGUCGUUCAGCUUAGCAAUUCCAGAAGUCGUAGUUCCAGCCAAACAUCUAAAUACUGAGCUCAAAUUGCAGAAAAUAUUGGGUGUUCAGUACUCGAUUUUGGACUAUAUGUUCACCUAUCUCUAGGGUGCCAUGAUCUCAUCUAAAGGAUCUUUUUUGCUAACACAUACCUUGAUGUUGACAUCGACAGCAGCAGAGAUAAUAUACGCCAUAUAAUCUUGUAAACAUAUGUGUAGAUCAGUACAAGUACUUUCAGUCUUCCUCCUUGUGAAUUAGUCUUUCAAGCUGUGGAUGGUCAGGAGUCGCUUGAGCCCUGCAAAGAUAAUGUUCAAGCUACAGCUUGAGUCAGAAUUUGUACGGAUACAUGAAAAUGUGAUGUAUGCCGAGAAAAGGUUUGUUUGCUAUGCAAUUCAAAUUUUAGCUUGCAAUUGCAGUUAGAAGUUCAAACCGCAACUCAAGUAUGUUGUUAAUUUACAGUGAGCAUCCACUUGCAGAAGACUUGUGCCUGGAUGUGCUAAUUGACAGUGAAAUGUAGAAAUAAGUUGCAACUUUGUAAUAUCCAUCUGAUAUGUGAAACAAGAAUUGUUACUAAUUCACAACAUGUAUCUACGAUUGUGAGAUGGGACACCAUGUGCACAGCGGAGGCAACACAAGGUCGAGAGAAAAGCCCGUGCGGAAAGAGAUGCAACAUACGGCCAUCAUUACAACUGUUAUAUUUUUGUAUAUGUUGUAAUUAUUCAUGCAAAGGUUACAGGCUUGAUGCACAAUUAUAAGUAUCUGGAGGAGUUGACGAAGCGUGGAGUUUUUUCUUGACAAUACAAAGAGUAUGAGUUAGGAGACGUUGAAGUGCAACUACAGAGCAAGCAUGACAAGGUGAAGCUUUUACUGGAGAAAGUUGCGUAAAGUCUUUUUUAAGGAAAAGUUGUGUUUUCUUACAGCCGUGGAGUAGGAUCCAGAUAGGGAAGGGAAGGGGCUAGAGCAACAAUAGUGUCCUUACCCAUUAGACUUUAAUCUAUGUACCUCCUAAUCAUUUACCUGAUUACUCGGAAAUAGAAGAUGAAAUAGAAGAUGAAAGAUGAGAUAUGAACUUGGCUCCUGAGCUCAAAUAAUUGCAAUAAAAUUCAAUGAAGUCUUAAUGUUUCG